CCGGCCUAGCUCAACUGGUAGAGCAACUGACUUGUAAUCAGUAGGUUGGGGGUUCAAGUCCUCUGGCCGGCACCA
rnacentral:tRNA from 1 species